rnacentral:rRNA from 1 species
GACGAACGCUGGCGGCGUGCUUAACACAUGCAAGUCGAACGGAAAGGCCCUGCUUUUGUGGGGUGCUCGAGUGGCGAACGGGUGAGUAACACGUGAGUAACCUGCCCUUGACUUUGGGAUAACUUCAGGAAACUGGGGCUAAUACCGGAUAGGAGCUCCUGCUGCAGGGGGGGGGUUGGAAAGUUUCGGCGGUUGGGGAUGGACUCGCGGCUUAUCAGCUUGUUGGUGGGGUAGUGGCUUACCAAGGCUUUGACGGGUAGCCGGCCUGAGAGGGUGACCGGCCACAUUGGGACUGAGAUACGGCCCAGACUCCUACGGGAGGCAGCAGUGGGGAAUAUUGCACAAUGGGCGGAAGCGUGAUGCAGAAACGCCGCGUGCGGGAUGACGGCCUUCGGGUUGUAAACCGCUUUCGCCUGUGACGAAGCGUGAGUGACGGUAAUGGGUAAAGAAGCACCGGCUAACUACGUG